AAGACUAUACUUUCAGGGAUCAUUUCUAUAGUAUGUUACAAAGGACUUUCCUGCCUGAGGUCCCAAGUUUAAUCCUUGGC
rnacentral:snoRNA from 1 species